CAUUCUCGAUUGUAGAAUUCAACUACCCAUGCUCAGGUAUUGGGUUUGAAGCCCUAAUAGUAGUAGAUUAGAUCUAUUACUGAAUGCUGAUUUUUUAUUCAUAUAUUUAUUAUUUUAAAUUCAGAUUUUUAUGCAUAUAAAUUCAUAUUAUAGAUUUAUUUGUAGGAGUUUUAAGAUCAGAUCUUAUGCAUUCAUUUAUAAAUUAAAUAGUUUAAUCUAAUAUUCUUCUACUAUAAAAUUUUUGAAAUGCAUGCAUGAAAUCCUAUGCAUUCC
rnacentral:lncRNA from 1 species